rnacentral:tRNA from 1 species
GCAAUUGGUUAGCGUGCAGUACUUACACAGCAGUCCAUGCAGAGCAUUGCUGAGGUUGUGAGUUCAAGCCUGACAUGGAGCA